UUAAAAGCAGUGAAACAAAUCCAGUCCAAAAGUCCCAACAAUUUAUGCAAAAGCCAAAACGACGCCGUAAACUGACGAAGAAGAACAGCUACAAGUCCAGUCGAAACCUCAGUGAAGAUCAAUUGCCCAAAACUAAAAAACCCACAAGAAACCUCUCUAGUCUCUGUUGCUAUUUAAGAAUAAAUAGCAUUAACUUCAAUAGAAACGACAUCGUCAUCUUCAUCUAGUCAAACAGAGAGAAGAGGAAUAGCUGGAGCUCAAUUUGUGGAAGAUGUACCAACUUAUCUCUCUCAACUGGGUCUCGAUGUGAACUCUGCUCUUGCCUUUCUCCAAGAAAGACUUCAGCAAUAUAAGUUGGUUGAGAUGAAACUUCUGGCUCAACAAAGGGACCAUCAGGUGAAGAUCCCUGAAUUGAGAAGUGCUUAGAUGUAGUUGCAACUUUACAAGCUAAGAUCAGCACUAGUGAGGAUCUUCUUGCUGAUUUUGAAGUGUCUGAAGGCAUAUAUUCACGUGCACACAUUCGGGUUACUGACUGAGUCUGUUUAUGGCUGGGAGCAAAUGUCAUGUUAGAAUAUUCAUAUGGAGAGGCCACUUCUCUUUUGCAGAAGAAUUUGGAUAAUACUAAAGCAAGUUUAGAAGUUCUUAUUGCCGAUUUGCGAUUCUUGAGGGAUCAAUUACUAUAACUCAGGUAUUGUAGGUGUGUCAAAAUCUUUCUCAUUUCCAAGUGAUGAAUGAAUGAGUCAAGGCGUCGUGCAAAUGCCUGGUGGAGCCCAAAGAGGUCCUAAAACUGCAACAUUUUUUUUCUCACUGGAGAAUCUAUGUACUUAAAUCUUUUUCAGUUUCCUUCCUUUUCGUGGACUAGUUGUAAUUCUUGACUAAUAUACCAUUAGGCAGAUCACUGUUGCCCGUGUUUAUAAUUGGGAUGUUCACCAGCGUAGAGUUCGACAAGCCACCACUGCAGCUAAAGAUUCAUGAAACAAAAAAUCUCUAGCCUCUCUUGUUGCAUAAGUUGGGCAAUUGGCUGGUCGUUGUAUUUUGGGUUGAUUUAGAUUAUACUUUCUUGGUUCUCUUCCCAUCAACACUAAAGUUCCAGAAUUUUUUCAAGGGGGUUUUGUGUUGUGCAGAACUUUAUCAUUUAUCGCUUGUUCAAUUUCUUCUGAUUUAUGUGUAUUUUUAUUCACGGUUACUUUGACAUGGACUUCUUCUUGGUGGGGUAACAUGAAGUUUAAAUUUCAAAGUUGUAAGAUUCUGAAAUCUUGGGCUAGUGGAAGACAUGUUGGGACCCAAAUAAGCUUCAAUGUGAAGUUAGGUGCUUUGUCUGGCGGAGAUACGGUGGUUGGCCAUGUCGGGCCAAAGCCAGUGUGGCCUGUCAUUACAAUAGGCCGCAUCUUACCAAGAGCCUUUGGAUCACACUUUCGCGGGCUUAGUGGGUUGACUAACAUUUUUGUUAUUUUUAAAUAAGCUGGCUAACAGUUUUUACUCUCUUGCACGGCCCGUAAUUUGGCCUGAGUGGUGUCAGUGCUGUCAACAAAAGGCCGUUUAGGUCAUGUCGCGGGUCAGUCUGACUUUUGUAUGUCUAAUUUGGUCUGGUCGAGGGCUAAUGUUUAAGUCAAGUCAAUGACGCUUGUCGUUAAUCCUUACCAAUUUAUCUUCCCUCUGUUGACCAGAAUAGACCCAAUUUAUUAAAUGGCGUUCCCAAAUCUGUGUCAUGUAGCUUAGACAUUUUGGUUAGUCAAAUACAAACAUCUUCCUUUCUUCA